CCCUUUCAUUCUUAAGACUUCUCUCUUCACUAGUUCUUACACCUCCAAGCUCGAAACCACCAAACACGCAACAAACAGAGAACUAAUAAGAGAAGUUGCUUCUGUAGCAACUGAAAGAUGAAAAUGGAGCAGCACCAAGAAAACAGCAAGAAGAGAGCCCGCAAAAGAAAAACGAGAAAACCAAUAACCGCUUCCGCUUCCGCUUCUCUCCCUUAACAGCACUACCACCAUAUUCCCUCUCUUACUAGCUGCAACAACGCAACCCUCCAACACUCAAAACAACACACCCAGUAAUAAUUUCGAAAUCUUAAUCAAUAAACUCUUAACCAAAUCACACCACUCUCUCCUUUCAAACAACCUAACAUUUCCCAUUUCAGUCCUCUCUUUGUUUCCUAUCCUCAUGAACUCCAAGUGUGCAGCAAUUGCGUGUCGAAGUGCGGAUAUUGUUGGGUUGGCUUAGCUGGUGUCAAUGGAAAUGAAUGAACUGGUUGCUUUGGAUGUGGGGACAGUGAAAGGUUUGAUCUUGAUGUUAGUGAUUAGAAAAAGGAAACUUUCAGUGGCUGCUUGUGAUGCCCUUUUGGAUUUGUCCACUACUUUGAUUGGAAGACAAAGGUUCCUGCAUCUUCGAUAUUGGUUUCUUUAUAUAAUGAAGAUGGGAGUAGUAUUGCCUGUGCCAGGAUAGCUUUUAAAGAAGAUGGACAUUCAGUGUCACUUCUUCACACUUCUAUUACUUUAAUUAAUGCUUGCAACAUUGAGCAAUUGGAAAGAUCCCAUCGAAGCUGUCUGAAAAAUUCUUGGAUUCUAUGAAAAGUUUGUGGGAAAAAGUGCACAAUCAGAUGUUACUUGGCAAUGCUUGGAUGUCCUUUCAAGAGAGGGAUUUAAAUUUGAGCAAUGUUACAGUUAACAAUCUGGCAGAAAGUAUUUUUAGCUUUUCUAUUAAUACCAGUGAAUUUGUGAUUCCUUUGCCA